rnacentral:rRNA from 4 species
GACAUCAGGAGGUUAGUGCAAUGGCAUAAGCCAGCUUGACUGCGAGCGUGACGGCGCGAGCAGGUGCGAAAGCAGGUCAUAGUGAUCCGGUGGUUCUGAAUGGAAGGGCCAUCGCUCAACGGAUAAAAGGUACUCCGGGGAUAACAGGCUGAUACCGCCCAAGAGUUCAUAUCGACGGCGGUGUUUGGCACCUCGAUGUCGGCUCAUCACAUCCUGGGGCUGAAGUAGGUCCCAAGGGUAUGGCUGUUCGCCAUUUAAAGUGGUACGCGAGCUGGGUUUAGAACGUCGUGAGACAGUUCGGUCCCUAUCUGCCGUGGGCGCUGGAGAACUGAGGGGGGCUGCUCCUAGUACGAGAGGACCGGAGUGGACGCAUCACUGGUGUUCGGGUUGUCAUGCCAAUGGCACUGCCCGGUAGCUAAAUGCGGAAGAGAUAAGUGCUGAAAGCAUCUAAGCACGAAACUUGCCCCGAGAUGAGUUCUCCCUGAGACUUUAGGUCUCCUGAAGGAACGUUGAAGACGACGACGUUGAUAGGCCGGGUGUGUAAGCGCAGCGAUGCGUUGAGCUAACCGGUACUAAUGAACCGUGAGGCUUAACCUU